rnacentral:rRNA from 1 species
UACAGAGGUGGCGAGCGUUGUCCGGAAUCACUGGGCGUAAAGGGCGCGUAGGUGGUUUGAUAAGGGUGUGGUGAAAGUCCGGGGCUCAACCCCCGGAUCUGCCGUGCCGACUGUCAAACUCGAGGGCUGUAGAGGCAGACGGAAUUCCGGGUGUAGCGGUGGAAUGCGUAGAGAUCCGGAGGAAGACCGGUGGCGAAGGCGGUCUGCUGGGCAGUUUCUGACACUGAGGCGCGACAGCGUGGGGAGCAAACAGG